GACGAACGCUGGCGGCGUGCCUAAUACAUGCAAGUUGAGCGAUGAAGAUUGGUGCUUGCACCAAUUUGAAGAGCAGCGAACGGGUGAGUAACGCGUGGGGAAUCUGCCUUUGAGCGGGGGACAACAUUUGGAAACGAAUGCUAAUACCGCAUAACAACUUUAAACAUAAGUUUUAAGUUUGAAAGAUGCAAUUGCAUCACUCAAAGAUGAUCCCGCGUUGUAUUAGCUAGUUGGUGAGGUAAAGGCCCACCAAGGCGAUGAUACAUAACCGACCUGAGAGGGUGAUCGGCCACAUUGGGACUGAGACACGGCCCAAACGCCUACGGGAGGCAGCAGUAGGGAAUCUUCGGCAAUGGACGAAAGUCUGACCGAGCAACGCCGCGUGAGUGAAGAAGGUUUUCGGAUCGUAAAACUCUGUUGGUAGAGAAGAACGUUGGUGAGAGUGGAAAGCUCAUCAAGUGACGGUAACUACCCAGAAAGGGACGGCUAACUACGUG
rnacentral:rRNA from 1 species